rnacentral:rRNA from 1 species
CUUAGCGGCGGACGGGUGAGUAACGCGUGGGCAACCUGCCUUACACAGGGGGAUAACAAUUAGAAAUGAUUGCUAAUACCGCAUAAGACCCCAGUACCGCAUGGUACAGAGGUAAAAACUGAGGUGGUGUAAGAUGGGCUCGCGUCUGAUUAGGUAGUUGGUGGGGUAGAAGCCUACCAAGCCGACGAUCAGUAGCCGACCUGAGAGGGCGACCGGCCACAUUGGGACUGAGACACGGCCCAAACUCCUACGGGAGGCAGCAG